AGGAUGACGUGGCCUUUGCCAUUGCUGAGAACCCAUUUUGCACGCAAUGUUUUCCCGGAUAAUAAAUGACACAGCUGGGAUUUAUUCAGGUGUUCUGACUCCAAAGUCCUUGCUCCUGAUCACCAUGCGCUACCGACUUUGAGCAGUGAUGUCUCACAGAUGGGAAUGAUUCCUCUGAAGAUUGAAUAGAGAAUGCCACCAUGUGAAGUGAUAUUUGAGCUGGAACCUGAGUGAAUGAUGGAAUGGAGAAGUCAGGUACAGAGCUGUGGGGAUAGCAUCACAGGACUGAACAGAAGUAGCUGUGCAACCACCACUAGAAGCCUUCUGAGCGUGUUACUGAAGAGGAUGAGGCAGGAGGCUUCCAGAGGCAACAGCCAAGACUAAGCCAUCAACCACAGGGCCAAACCCAGUAAAAAAGAAAAAUAAGAACACUUCCACUUAAA
rnacentral:lncRNA from 10 species